rnacentral:misc_RNA from 1 species
UUUGGAUGAUGAGUUGGUGCCAAAUUGGUUGAGUGAUAAAGUUGGGAGACAAAGGAUUAGGAAAUUGGGGAAAAGGGCUUGUUCGAAGAUGAACAAAUCCAGAAAGGCGCCUCAUGUUUUUAAUAGGCCUGGAUGUGUUCAUGGUAAACAUGGAUUUGGUAUGCGGUAGUUAUGUCUAAAAUAAAUCAUUUGCAGGCUCAAUAUGG